GUGUAAGUAUUUGAUACACAGUAUUAUAUAUGUGACAAAAUACAGCCUUCCAAGCUGAGGGUCGCGGGUUUGAGCCCCGUCUUCCGCU
rnacentral:tRNA from 1 species